GUAUGAAGCUGUAGGGCAAAGAAACUACAAUACCACUGGACCGAAGAGACAGACACUGCAUUUCCAGGAUUCCUUUCUCUUGAAACUCCCUUCAACUGAGGCCAAAUCACUUGUGCACAGACACGGUCAACCCACAAUGUCAUAUUUUCCGUAGCUCCAUCUGCAAGCCCUCCACUUCACUACUGGGACUCAGAGAAGUAUGACUUUCAGUGACCAAUAAACUGAAGAAAGCUUCCAAGGAGCAUCUAGGUGAGCAAUGUUCUGUCAAUAGCACGAAGAAAGAGGAAGACAUGGAUAAAUGGAGUGAAUCUUUACUGAAGACGAAGAUCAGAGAAGAUGUUGAUUAGGGAGACACCAGUGUCUGUGCUGGGGUUCGAAUGAAUGAGGAUUCGGCUGAACCGUUUUGUCUCUGCAGGUGGCAGGGCUGCGGGGAACUGAAAUAGCCCGAUCAAAGGAUGAAACGCAGUUCACCUCUGGGACUUGCAACCAGCAUUGCUUUCAUUCAGAUGUAGGAAUUCAAGGGGGCCUGGAGCCCCAGGCACCUACCGAAUAGGAAUUGGUCACUUAGUCCCGGAAGGCCUGCCAAGGCCAAGGCCAAAUCACCAAGGAAUGAACCAGAAGCAAAUUCACAUGGGCUUCCCAGCCCACCCUUUCCCCCUGGGCCUUCACAGCAGGUCUUGGUGAGAAACCCUGUUUUGCAGAUGCCUUGAUGGAGGUGGAUGGGAUCUGACGUAUCAAGGGAUUAUGUAUCCUGUCCUAAAUUCAGGAAAAGAUCUCCUCUCCAUCAAGAUUGAAAAUAGUUUUGUUAAAGGGAAACUCAGAAACGUUAUGGAAAGACAGAUGAAGAAGGAGCAGAGGGGCACCUGGGGGGGUUGAGCGGCUGCCUUUGGCUCAGGGCGUGAA